GGGUAUAUUCAGGAAUUUUGUAGUUGUAGAAGCAGUUUCUCAACCAAAUCCGAUUGUCCAGCUUACUAUUUUUACUAUUACGAGGUUUGGGACUUUGAAGAGGAACAUCUCUACUUGCUUCCUGAGAUUUCACAGAUUCUGAAAGAAAUUUCACAGGAGACAAAUUUUUUGACUGCCUACGUCAGAACAUGUAAUCCCUGUAAAGUGGAAAUAAUAUUUUUGGGGGGUUUUGCUUUUUGCCCAACCAUCCUAAUUUGCAAACUCUUUAGAGAAGUGACUCAACUGAUUUGCUCAAUGCCUGCCACAGUUUGGCAAUGAGAUGAAAUAAUUCAAAUAACUUCCCUAACUGCAGUGCCCUCGUUGCCUCUGUUGGGGUGUCUUGGCUUUGCCUGCACAGAAAAUAUCUGUCAUUAUCCUGUUAGACAUAAAUAACAGCUUCUCUGGAAGACAAAGAUUGCACUUGUUACUGGACCUAUCUACUCCUAUUUUCCAUAAGCAACAGCCACCCCACCCUGUGAGUGCAAUGAGGCCACUGAGUCACCAGCAUGAAGCAGUGACGAGCUCAUACAUCUCGCCAGGGAGGACCCAAAAUCUCCUCCAAAGAAGAGAAGAGACAUCUUUCUUCAGCUGAUAAUUAGAGGCUGAAAUGACCUUGAUGGUGAUGCAGAGCUGUGCGUGCCACGCACUGCUCAGGCUCUGCAGGAACAGACCUACAGCUGCUGCACUAAACUUCAAUGUGUCUUCUCUUCAGAUGAUGAUGUCUUUGAACUUUCCUAUUAUUCUUGCCAAUCUAAUGUCAUAUUUCCUUCAAAUAAAACUCAGUUGGUGUGUGAGAACUCA